AAGCAAUAAGUAAUCCACCUGGGGAGUACGGCCGCAAGGCUGAAACUCAAAGGAAUUGACGGGGGCCCGCACAAGCGGAGGAACAUGUGGUUUAAUUCGAUGAUACGCGAGGAACCUUACCUGGGCUUAAAUGUAGAGUGCAUGAGGUGGAAACACUUCUUUCCUUCGGGACUCUUUGCAAGGUGCUGCAUGGUUGUCGUCAGCUCGUGCCGUGAGGUGUCGGGUUAAGUCCCAUAACGAGCGCAACCCUUAUCGUUAGUUGCCAGCGGGUAAAGCCGGGGACUCUAGCGAAACUGCCACCGUAAGGUGAGAGGAAGGUGGGGAUGACGUCAAAUCAGCACGGCCCUUAUGUCCAGGGCUACACACGUGUUACAAUGGCCGGCACAGAGGGCAGCUACCUGGUGACAGGAUGCUAAUCUCGAAAACCGGUAUCA
rnacentral:rRNA from 1 species